UUGGAGGGCAAGUCUGGUGCCAGCAGCCGCGGUAAUUCCAGCUCCAAUAGCGUAUAUUAAAGUUGCUGCAGUUAAAAAGCUCGUAGUUGAAUUUCGGGACCAUCAUGUCGGUCGUGCCUCGGUACGUACUGGCAUUGUUGGUUUCUCCCUUCUGACGAACCAUGAUGUCAUUUAUUUGGUGUUGUGGGGAAUCAGGACUGUUACUUUGAAAAAAUUAGAGUGUUUAAAGCAGGCUCACGCUUGAAUACAUUAGCAUGGAAUAAUGAAAUAGGACGUUUGAUUCUAUUUUGUUGGUUUCUAGGAUCGACGUAAUGAUUAAUAGGGAUAGUUGGGGGCAUUAGUAUUCAAUUGUCAGAGGUGAAAUUCUUGGAUUUAUUGAAGACUAACUACUGCGAAAGCAUUUGCCAAGGAUGUUUUCAUUAAUCAAGGACGAAAGUUAGGGGAUCGAAGACGAUCAGAUACCGUCGUAGUCUUAACCAUAAACUAUGCCGACUAGGGAUCGGAUGAUGUUAAUUUUUUAAUGACUCAUUCGGCGCCUUACGGGAAAC
rnacentral:rRNA from 1 species